AACAAGUAUUAAAGGUAAUGCCUGCCCAGUGAAUUAUUUCAACGGCCGCGGUAUUCUAACCGUGCAAAGGUAGCGUAAUCAUUUGUCUACUAAUUAUAGACUUGUAUGAAAGGCCACAUGAGAGCCAAACUGUCUCUUGUAAUCUAUCAAUGAAACUGAUCUUCUAGUUAAAAAGCUAGAAUAAAAACAUAAGACGAGAAGACCCUGUGAAGCUUUAAAACUACCAUUAAACCACUUAAUGGGACCUUUUAGUUGGGGCAACUUUGGAAAAAAACUAAACUUCCAAAAGGUAAAUACCUAAAAAGACCAACAAGUCAAUCAUGACCCAGUACUACUGAAAAAUGAACCAAGUUACUCCAGGGAUAACAGCGCAAUCUUCUUCAAGAGCCCAUAUCAAAAAGAAGGUUUACGACCUCGAUGUUGGAUCAGGACACCCAAGUGGCGCAGUCGCUAUUAAAGGUUCGUUUGUUCAACGAUUAACAGUCCUACGUGAUCUGAG
rnacentral:rRNA from 1 species